GCAGACUUAGGCCUCACAGACUCUGUGGAUCCAGCCCCUAACUGGCUUGGCUUUGGCCCUGCAUUGUCCCCAUGGACAUGAUCUGACCUGUGGGUCAGCUUCCCAGCUUGGCCUGUCUCAUCCCAUGGACUUUCCAGAUGGUUGGAUGAGGACCUGACCCUGGCCAUGGCAAUCCCUGCCUGCCUCCUCUCUGGUAUCUAUGGGGGUCCCUGCCCCACUGCCUCAGCAGGGCCCCAGCAUCUCUGUGUGUGCACGUGCUUGCCCAAGCACUUACUGCCCUGCUGCUACCCUGGGGUACAGGGACCUGCUCCCAACCCGAGCUCUGAGAAGAUGCUUGUUGGUGCCUGUUGGCUGGCACAGCGCCAAGGCUGAUGCAUGGGCUCUUCCCCUCCUUGGCGGGCAGAGUAGCACCGACAGGAGAAACAGAACAGCCAAGAAAUGAAAUACAGGGUAAGUUACUGCAGUAAAUCCCAUGGUUACCUAAGAGACAGAGGCAGCAGAGCGUCCUGCAGCACGGUCUUUGACAGAGAAAGAAGAAACUGAACAGGUCUUCCUGUUAAACUCAGGAAUGAAAGGUGCUGGCUGUGGCCCUGCUUUGGGGAGUUUGAAGACCAGAUUUUGGGGAUCCAAACGGAGAAGGGACACAGAAAAAGCCUUGCAAAGGCAGCUGAACUGUGACCGACUUCCCAUUGCUGCCUGCCAACUGGUCACCGAUUAACUCAUUCCCUGGCAUUCCUCUGGGCAAACACCCAGUCAUCUGAAUGCUAUUUGCUGCCAGAGUGUUCCUCUGGCAGCAGCUUUGCAGCCCUGACAGACACCAUGGAUUUUUCCCUGCACGUAUCCGUAGGGAAUGUCUUGGCACAGCAGCAAGCAGUGUGCCGGCCCAGGCCUGGGGCAGCACUGGGGGAUGGCACUGGGACAGUGCCCACCCUGAAAGCAAGGCAAGCAGUAGCAUUUCAUCAGAGGAGAUUUGCAAAGAAAACAUUAUUUCCUCAAAUGUGUUCAUCAUUCAAAAUUAUUCAAGCAAAGGUUUCCAUCUCGCUGUGGCUAUUAUUCAUAAUAUGGGAAUCUGGA